UGGCUCAGAACGAACGCUGGCGGCGUGCUUAACACAUGCAAGUCGAGCGGAAAGGCCCUUCGGGGUACUCGAGCGGCGAACGGGUGAGUAACACGUGAGCAACCUGCCCUUAGCUUUGGGAUAACCCUCGGAAACGGGGGCUAAUACCGAAUGUUCACUUCCUGUCGCAUGGUGGGGGGUGGAAAGUUUUUGCGGUCAGGGAUGGGCUCGCGGCCUAUCAGCUUGUUGGUGGGGUGAUGGCCUACCAAGGCGGUGACAGGUAGCCGGCCUGAGAGGGCGACCGGCCACACUGGGAUUGAUCUCACGGCCCAAGAUACUACGGGAGGCA
rnacentral:rRNA from 1 species